rnacentral:rRNA from 1 species
ACGCACGCUGGCGGCGUGCUUAACACAUGCAAGUCGAACGGAAAGGCCCUGCUUGCAGGGUACUCGAGUGGCGAACGGGUGAGUAACACGUGGGUGAUCUGCCCUGCACUUCGGGAUAAGCCUGGGAAACUGGGUCUAAUACCGGAUAGGAGCCAUUUUUAGUGUGAUGGUUGGAAAGUUUUUUCGGUGUAGGAUGAGCUCGCGGCCUAUCAGCUUGUUGGUGGGGUAAUGGCCUACCAAGGCGGCGGCGGGUAGCCGGCCUGGGAGGGUGGACGGCCACAUUGGGACUUGGAUACGGCCCAGACUCCUACGGGGGGCAGCAGGGGGGAAUAGUGCACAAUGGGCGCAAGCCUGAUGCAGCGACGCCGCGUGGGGGAUGACGGCCUUCGGGUUGGAAACUCCUUUCGCUAGGGACGAAGCUUUUUGUGACGGUACCUAGAUAAGAAGCACCGGCUAACUACGUG